rnacentral:lncRNA from 1 species
UGUAUUCAGUGUGACUGCCCAGCAGUCACGGGCUCUAGGCCUGGUCAGACCUGCUCCCUUCCUCAGUCGAGGGGAGAGAGGUGCAUCCAUCCCCAGCGGGGCACCCGCUGCAGCUCCGGUACCCCAGCCAGCUCCAGGCCGGGUGCCCAUUGCAGCUUCGGUACCCCAGCCAGCUCCAGCACGGCAGGUGCCCUGUCUCCGUGGCCCGCUACCAAAGAAGAGACAACAUCCAGCAGCAGCCACUCCCGCAGGACUCCAGGGAACAAGGAUGGAAUGAGAAUUGAGAAGCAGAGCUGAGCUGUGACUCAAGCACCGGGCUGGCUGCCACACAGCAUCCCUGUGACACUCAGAUGCCAGCUAACGUGUUCUAAUAAAGCUAACCAGUCACAUCGGUCAAACCCUACCUUGAUCCGGUGAUGGGCCCCUGCCCACCCCAAAAUUUCCCGCGUGUUCAUGAAAGACGACUAACUCCAGAACGGAACAUGACGCACGUGCCGAGACAUCAGCAUUGAGUAAGCACCCGCUGUGGGCCAGGCCCGGUCUCAGGACAGCUGCGCGCCCUCCAGACUCCACGGUCCUACAGACAAUGAAUAUUAUGCAACCAAAAUGUCCUGGGAAUUCAGAGCCAAAGGCAGCAUUCUUAGGAAAUGCCUCCCACUCUCCUGCCAUGGCAUAGAGCUCUGCUGGGCUCUGAUGCUGGGGCUUGUGGGAGGCCAGGAAAGGAAGAGGCCCUCGUCAC